UCUCCUAGCCUGUGGCUAUGGCAAGAGAAUUAAAUGACACUGAAAACUCUGGAUAUGAAGAGAAACAGACUGAAACUGAAACUGCAAACACUGGGCCAAUGAAGAAUUGUGUAGGCUCAAGGUCUGAGAUUUCCUGGACCAUCCAGAUGAAGUAAAGCUGAACUACAAGUCCAGUUGGCUCGUGCCUUGCUCUUCGCUCACCAUCUGCUGUGUCGUCCUGAUGCAGGGAGAUGGAACAAGUCUGGCAUCGCUGGUUCACUGGGUCCCUGGCUGACUGACCUCACUACUCUCCAGUCAACUGCAUCUGUCUCCACACUCUCCAGAUUCCUGUUUAGCUAUCCAGACAUCCUCUGUUCUUCUACUUCUUCUCAAGG